GCUUAAAGACCCGCCUCUGUCCUCGUCAUUGAUUGGCAAGGAGGGCGAUCACCCUUUGCAUCAGUACACUUGUUCCGGGGGCUGAUUGGCCGAGCGCUGUUGUCGCUCAACCGUAGGUCUGACGUUCUUUCCGGCAUCAAGUUUGCCUGCUGUCGUUUCACUCCCCCCUUCGGCUGCCGCCGCUGCUGCUGUUGUGGAAGAAAAAAAAUCCCGUUAAUUUUUUAAAAAAACAGAUUAAAUAUAAUCAUUUUAAGAAUGGCCGCGGCAACUGCCUCCACAGCGGGUCUAAGCGAUUCGGCAUCUGGCGCCGUCAAUAACGGCAGCAGCAGCAGCACAGACUGCGGGGCUCGGGCCCUACUGGCCCUCAAGUCGGCUCCUUGCAGCCCGUCCCGGGUUCAGGUUCACUGGGACCCCGAGGAGGACUUGAGUAGCGCCUGCGACGGCUCGAAUUCCUCGCCAUCGGGUGGCGGGGCGGCCUCUGGACACCGGCACCAGCCCGGGCCCGAGGUGCUGGCCCGGUUGGAGGGCCGCGACUUUGAGUUUCUGAUGAAGAAGAGGAGCGUGACCAUCGGCCGCAACUCGAGCCAGGGCCAGGUGGACGUCAACAUGGGCCACUCCAGCUUCAUCUCCCGCAGGCACUUGGAGAUCUUUCGGGGCGGAGAGGCAGCCGCCGCCGGCUUUUUCCUGAAGUGUUUGGGCAAGAACGGGGUAUUCGUGGACGGUGUCUUCCAGCGGCGAGGAGCGCCGCCGCUGCAGCUGCCCCGGGUAUGUACCUUCAGGUUCCCCAGCACAAAUAUCAAGAUCUCAUUUACGGCACUAUGCAGUGUCAAAAAAGAAAAACAGGAGGCUCCAGAAUCCCCAGUGAGGCCAGUGCAACCACAAAUCUCACCUUUGAAGAUAAACAUUCCAGACAACAUAGCUGAUCUGAUCAGUCCCUUACCUUCUCCCACUGGAACAAUCAGUGCUGCAAACUCCUGUCCUUCCAGCCCAAGAGGUGCAGGUUCCUCUGGCUACCGAAUAAGUCGUGGACUUCAUUCUGACCUGCAGCUAAUGUCUGACCAUGUACAAAAUAAUUCAGAGAAUGACAAGGAAACAUCAGAUGGAGACAGCCCAAAGCAGGAUGAUGCAAAACCACCUUACUCCUAUGCACAAUUAAUAGUUCAAGCCAUUACAACAGCACCAGAUAAGCAACUUACAUUAAGUGGAAUCUACACACAUAUCACAAAGAAUUAUCCAUAUUACAGGACAGCGGACAAAGGUUGGCAGAAUUCCAUCCGACAUAAUCUUUCCCUAAACCGCUACUUCAUUAAGGUACCACGUUCCCAGGAGGAGCCUGGAAAAGGCUCAUUCUGGAGGAUAGACCCUGCUUCUGAAAGCAAACUAACAGAGCAGGCUUUCAGGAAAAGAAGACCAAGGGGUGUGCCCUGCUUCAGAACUCCCUUGGGACCCCUUUCUUCCAGAAGUGCACCAGCUUCUCCGAGCCACCCCGGUGUGUUUUCAUCCCACUCCAGUGGUGUCCAAACCCCAGAGAGCCUGUCCAGGGAAGGCUCUCCAGUCCCCACAGAUCAUGAAACUAGCACUGUGCAACCUAAAUUAGCAGUAUUACGGGAGGCAAGAUAUGCUCAAAGUGCACCAGGAUCACCUAUGUCAGCUCAGCCGGUUUUAAUCACUGUGCAACGGCAAAUUUCACAGUCUAUGAAACCAGUUACGUAUACGGUAGCCACCCCUGUUACAUCAACAUCCCAGCAGCCUAUGCUGCAAACAGUUCAUGUGGUUCAUCAGAUACCUGCUGUAUCUGUUACAAUGGCUAGUCUACCAGCAAACAGCUACACUGUAGCUAACCCGUCAGUUGUGACACAGGCAAUGGUUAGCCAAGCCAAAAUGGAAUGCCCAGAAAAUGGAGAACAAAAGGAAGUGAAAGUCAAAGUGGAGCCUGUUUCAGCAAUUACACCAAUAGGCACUGCCAAUCGCUUCAUUCAGACUUCGCAAGGUACACCCAUACAGACAGUUACUAUACUACAGCAGGCUCCUCUGGGCCAGCACCAGUUACCCCUUAAACCAAUUGCACAGAAUGGAACACAUGUAGUACCCAUCUCUUCGGUAACACAUGGACAAGCUAAUACUGCUGCUGCAAGCCCAUUGCACAUGUUGGCAACUCAUGCAUCUGCCUCAGCAUCCCUUCCUACAAAGCGCCAAAAUGGAGAUCAAGGAGAGCAGCCAGAGAUUAAACGUAUCAAAACAGAAGAUGGAGAAAGUAUACUGGUUGCUGUCAAAGUGGAAGCCCCAACUGUGGCUGCAGGUGUACAGAGCAGCCAGAACUAAAGAUUAGGGGAUGGAACGCAGCUAACCUUUUAUCAAUUGCAAGGUGCCAAAAGGACAAGCCUAACUCAAUAUCUAGAACUCCAGCAUGUGUUGACUCGUUGGGGGGUAUGGGGCCCUGUAUGAGCGACUGUGAACUGCAGCACUGAGAAAUGGGAAGCCUUAAAACACAAUAAGUUAAAGAAACUGAACAAAUUUACAAAGUAACACCCCUCAUGAGAGGCUGUUCCUCCUGCUCAACUACCUCAGUGCUCACUGGGAAAGGAAGAGAUGGAGAGGGCCUCAGCUAGCCACACAUCUGAUACUUACGGACUUGAGCACACCAGUGUGACGGCAGCAUGGCGAGUGCUUUAAAGAACACCAAUAACACAAGAUUGUAUGUUACAUAAAGGGAACAAAGCUGCCUUUAGAUCUUGAAGUAAGGAUCCCCCUGUGAAGAGUAGACCCUUGACUAACAAGUCAACAUGACACUGAGAUGAUUUGCACAUGACAUUUUGAUCGUCUAAACGUGCCACCUAUUACAGGUUGUCAUCACUUAUGAUGUAAUAACUGAAUCUCUCCAACAAGACUGUGUUUUGAGGUGCAGCUUGGUAACAGGCCCUUCAGGCCCAAUGACCCCACAUGGCUCAAUUAUACUCAUGUGACUAAUUAACCUAUUUACUGGUGCUGUAAUAGCUAACCCCCAUGCUCCUGUGCUACCCCUAUUGUUCAACACAGUGCUGGAAAAGCAAGGUAACUGUUAUUUUGUGGGUGGCAGUCUUUAAAUGAAAGAAUUGCACUUGAAGUGAAGGCUACAACAGUCAUCUAACUCCUGUCCUCACUUGCACCACAGAAACCAGGGAGUUAAAAAGUAUUCAGCCCCCAACUCUUUGUUCACAUAAAUGAGUAUUACAAAUAGGGAUUUGGAUCAAUUUAACUGAGAAUUUUUAUUUGUGUAUCAUAUAUUUUUUUUCCCACAGUGGAGCACAAAAAACAGGGAAAAUUAUAAGGCUCAAAAACUUAAAUAUUAGCUGUUCAAAAAUAUUCAUUGCCCUUUGCUCAGUACUUAGUUGAACACUUCUCAUAAGUAUUACAGCCAAUAGUCUUUUUGAACAAGUCCCUAUUAGAUUUGCACAUUCAUAGAACAUAGAAAUCUGCAGGACAUUACAGGCCCUUCAAUCCACGCUGUUGUGCCAACCAUGUAACCUACUCUAGAAACUGCCUAAAAUUUCCCUAGCACAUAGCCCUCUAUUUUUCUAAGCUCCAUGUACCUAUCUAAGGCUCUGAAACGAUCUUGUAUCCGCUUCCAUCAGCACCGCCGGUAGUGCAUUCCACACACCCACCACACUCUGCGUGGAAAAACUUACCCCUGACAUCCCCUUUGUACUAUUUCCGAGCACCUUAAAACUAUGCCCCUUGUGUUGGCCAUUUCAGCCCUGGGAAAAAGCCUCUGGCUAUCCACACGAUCAGUCCCCUCAUCAUCUUAUACACCUCUAUCAGGUCACCUCUCAUCCUCCACUGCUCCAAGGAGAAAGGGCCAAAUUCACUUAAUCUGUUCUCAUAAGGUAUGCUCUCCAAUUCAGGCAACAUCCUUGUAAAUCUCCUCUGUCCUCUCUAUGGAAUCCACAUCCUUCUUAUAGUGCAGUGGCCAGAACUGAACAUAAUACUCCAAGUAGGUCUGAGCAAGGUCUUGUAUGGCUGUAACAUUACCUUACGGUUGAUGAAUGCCAACGCACCAUAUGCCUUCUUAACAACACUGUCAAGCUGCACAGCAGCUUUGCGUGUCCUAUGAACAUGAACCCCAAGAUCUAUCAGAUCCUCCGCACUGCCAAGAAUCUUGCCAUUAAUAUUACAUUCUGUCUUCAAAUUUGACCUACCUAAAUGAACCACUUCACAUUUAUCUGGGUUAAAGUCCAUCUGCCACUUCUCAGCCCAGUUCUGCAUCCUAUUGGUGUCCCGUUGUAACCUCUUGACAGCCCUCCAGACUAUUCACAACACCACUGACGUUUGUCAUCAGCAAACUUACUAACCCACCUUUCUACUGCUUUUUCCAGGUCAUUUAUAAAAAUCACGAAGAGGAGGGGUCCCAGAACAGAUCCCUGCGGAUCACCACUGGUCACCGACCUCCAUGCAGAAUACGGACCAUCCACAACCACCCUGUGCCUUUUGUGGGCAAACCAAUUCUAGAUCCACAAAGCAAGGUCUCCUUGGAUCCCAUGCCUCCUUACUUUCUGAAGGAGACUUGCAUGGAGAACCUUAUCAGAUGUCUUACUCUAAUCUAUAUACACUACAUCCACUGCUCCACCUUUAUCAAUGUGUUUUGUUACUUCCUCAAAGAAUUCAAUCAGGCUCCUAAGGCACAACCUGCCAUUGACAGAGUCAUACUGACUAUCCCUAAUCAGGUUAUGUCUCUCCAAAUGCUCUUAAAUCCUGCCUCUCAGGAUCUUCUCCAACAACUUGCCCAUUACUGAAGUCAGACUCACUGGUCUAGAAUUUCCUCGGUUAUCUCUACUCCCUUUCUUGAACAGGGGAGCAACAUUUGCAAACCUUCAGUACUUCUCCAGUCCCUAGUGAUGACACAAAGAUCAUUGCAAGAGGCUCAGCAAUCUCAACCCUCGCUUCCCACAGUAGCAUGGGAUAUAUCUCAUCCGGUCCCAGUAACUUAUCUAAAUUAAUGCUUUUCAAAAGCUCCAACACAUCCUCAUUCUUAAUGUUCAAUCUGCUGUAAGUCAUCCUCACCACUACCAGGGUCUUUUUCCUUGGUGAAUACUGCAUUAAAGUAUUCGUUAAGUAUCUCCGUAAGCUUCUCCGACUCCAUUCAUAUGUUUCCACUAUCGCACCUGAUUGGUCCUAUUCUCACACAGCUCAUCCUCUUGCUCUUCACAUACUUGUAGAAUGCCUUGGGAUUUUCCUUAAUCCUGCUCACCAAGGCAUUCUCAUAGCCCCUUCUGGCACUCCUAAUUCCAUUCUUAAGGUCGUCCCUAGCAACCUUGUAAUUUUCUAGAGCUCUAACAGGACAUAGUUUCUUGAACCUUUCAUAAGCUUAACUAAAUUUUCCACAUCCUUUGAACACCAUGGUUCUUUAACCCUACCAUCCUUUUCCUGUCUCAAUGGAACAUACCUAUGCAGAAUGCCAUGCAAAUAUUCCCUGAACAUUUGCCACAUUUCUGCCAUGCAUUUCCCUGAGAACAUCUAAUCCUAAUUUACGCUCCCAAGUUCCUGCCUAAUAGCAUCAUAUUUUCCCCCUACCCCAAUUAACUCUUUUCCCAUAUUGUCUGCUUCUAUCCCUCUCCAGCACUUUGAUUUAUAAAGGCCAAUGUACCGAAAGCUGUCUUUACAACCCUAUCUAUCUGUGACACCACUUUUAGGGAACUUUGUAUCUGUAUUCCAAGAUCUCUCUGUUCUACUGCACUCCUCAGCGCCCUACCAUUUACCUUGUGUGUUCUACCUUGGUUUGCCCUUCCAACGUGCAAUAGCUCACACGUGUCUGUAUUAAACUCCAUCUGCCAUUUUUCAGCCCAGAUUUCCAGCUGGUCCAAAUCCCUCUGUAAGCUUUGGAAACCUUCUUCACUGUCCACUACACCUCCAAUCUUUUCAUCAGCAAAUUUACUACAUUAUCAUCCAGAUCAUUAAUAUAGAUGACAAAUAACAAUGGACCCAGCAGUGAUCCCUGUGGCACACCACUAGUCACAGGCCUCCACUCAGAAACAAUCCUCCACUACCACUCUUUGGCUUCUUCCAUUGAGCCAAUGUCUAAUCCAAUUUACUACCUCUCCAUGUAUACCUAGCGACUGAAUCUUCCUAACUAAUGUUAAAGGCCUUACUGAAGUCCAUGUAGACAACAUCUACUGCCUUCCCUUCAUCCACUUUCCUGGUAACUUCAUCAAAAAACUCUAACAGAUCUGUUAAACAUGACCUACCACGCACAAAGCCAUGUUGACUCUCCCUAAUAAGUCCCUGUCUAUCCAAAUACUUGUAGAUCCUAUCUCUUAGUACUCCUUCCAAUAACUUACCCACUACCGACAUCAAACUUACCGGCCUAUAAUUUCCCGGAUUACUUUUAGAGCCUUUUUUAAACAACGGAACAACAUGAGCUAUCCUCCAAUCCUCCGGCACCUCACCCGUAGAUACCGACAUUUUAAAUAUAUCUGCCAGGACCUCUGCAAUUUCAACACUAGUCUCCUUCAAGGUCCGAGGGAAUACCCUGUCCGGUCCUGGGGAUUUAUCUACUCUGAUUUGCCUCAAGAUAGCAAGCAUCUCCUCCUUUUCAAUCUGUAUAGGUUCCAUGACCUCACUACUUGUUUGCCUUAUUUCCAUUGACUCCAUGCCAGUUUCCUUAGUAAAUACAGACGCAAAAAACCCAAUUAAGAUCUUCCCCAUUUCUUUUGGUUCCAUACAUAGCCGACCACUCUGAUCUUCAAGAAGACCAAUUUUAUCCCUUACUAUCCUUUUAAUAUACCUGUAGAAGCUCUUUGGAUUAUCCUUCACCUUGACUGCCAAAGCAACCUCAUGUCUUCUUUUAGCCCUCCUGAUUUCUUUAAGUUUUUUUUUGCACUUUUUAUACUCCUCAAGCACUUAUUUGUUUCCUAUACAUGAAAUACAUCUCUCUCUCUCCUUAUCAGUCAGAGUUCCAAUAUCCCUUGAGAACCAAGGUUCCUUAUUCUUAUUCACUUCGCCUUUAAUCCUGACAGGAACAUACAAACUCUGCACUCUCAGAAUUUCUCCUUUGAAGGCCUCCCACUUACCAGUAACCUCCUUGCCAGAGAACAAUAUGUCCCAAUCCACGCUUUUUAGAUCCAUUCUCAUUUCUUCAAAUUUGGCCUUUUUCCAGUUUAGAACCUCAACCUGAGGACCAGAUCUAUCUUUAUCCAUGAUCAAGUUGAAACUAAUGGUGUUAUGAUCACUGGAACCAAAGUGUUCCCCUACACACACUUCCGUCACCUGUCCUAACUCGUUUCCUAAUAGGAGAUCUAAUAUUGCCUCCUCUCUCGUUGGUACCUCUAUAUAUUGAUUUAGAAAACUUUCCUGAACACAUUUUAUAAACUCUAACCCAUCUAGACCUUUAACAGUAUGGAAGUCCCGAUCAAUAUGUGGAAAAUUAAAAUCCCCUAUACCAACUUUGUUUCCUGCAGUUGCCUGCUCUCUCUGUCUGCAAAUUUGCUCCUCCAAUUCUCGCUGACUAUUGGGUGGUCUUUAAUACAACCCCAUUAAUGUGGUCAUACCUUUCCUGUUUCUCUGCUCCACCCAUAUAGCCUCGGUAGACAAGCCCUCUAAUCUGUCCUGCCUGAGCACUGCUGUAAGAUUUUCCCUGACUAGCAAUGCCACCUUCAUUCCUCUGCCUCUUAGCACAUCUGAAACAUCGGAACCCUGGAACAUUAAGCUGCCAGCCCUGCCCCUCCUGUAGCCAAGUUUCACUAAUGGCUAUAAUGUCGUAAUUCCAUGUGCCAAUCCACACCCUCAGCUUGUCAGCCUUCCCCACAAUAGUCCUUGCAUUGAAAUAGACACACCUCAGAAGAUUAUUACCACCACACACAACCCCUUCUAUUUGUGACUUUGCAUGAACUUUUAACAUCAUUUAUUUUUCACCCCCGCUCCAUUAUCUGCUCUGGCAUUCUGGUUCCUAUCCCCCUGCAAAUCUAGUUUAACACUAACAAACCUCCCUGCAAGGAUGUAGGUCCCCUUGUAGUUCAGGUGUAACCCAUCACUCUUGUACAGGCCCCACCUGCCCCAGAAGAGGUCCCAAUGAUCCUGAAAUCUGAAACCUUGUCCCCUACACCAGUUCCUCAGCCACGUGUUCAUCCUCCAGAGCAUCCUAUUCUUACUUUCACUGGCACGUGGCACAGGUAGCAAUCCUGAGAUUAUCGUCCUCAAGGUCCUGCUUUUUAACUUCCUACCAAGCUCUCUAUACUCACUCUUCAGGACAUCCUCACUCUUUCUUCCUACCUCAUUGGUACCGACUUCCAUGACUUCCUCCUUUUCUGCACCAUGACGCUAUCCCUAAUUAGCAAUGCCAUGCCUCCACCUCUUUUGUCUCCCUCUGUUCUUUUUGUAACAUCUAAAGCCUGGCACACACAGCAGCCAUUCCUGCUCCUGAGACAACCAAGUGUCUGUAAUGGCCACAACAUCAUAGUUGCACACAUUGAUCCAUGCUCUAAGUUCAUCUGCCUUGUUUAUGAUUCUGCUUGCAUUAAAAUAGACACAUCUCAAACCAUCAGGCAGAGUGCAUCUUUGCUCUAACAUCUGCCUAUCCUUCCUCACGAACUCCCUCCAAGCUGCCUCUACUUGUGCUCCAACGGCCCCUUCCUCUGCCUCUUCACUUCGGUUCCCCAGAUCUGUGCUUCUCUAUUAUCAUUUCGCUGUCUUGGCUUGAAUACUCUUCUGUUCUCAUUUUUGUUUGGUCUGUUGAAAAUCAUACUGUUGGAUCUUACAGAGAGAGGGGCUAUUUACUAUGAAUUCACUGAAAACAGGUGAUCCUGUCCAGGUCAUCAAGGGAAUGGCGGCGUAAGGAAAAGGUCUCUCGACAAAAAAGGUAAACUGCCCCAAAAUGGAAUUUAGACAAAUACUUAAUAUUGUAUAACUAUAUUAAUAAAAGGGGCAAGGAUGAUGUCUAAGAACAAGAUUAAAAAGUCUGCUCUGAAGGAACACAAAGAGACGCAGCAAGGCGACGGGCCUAGCUCCCCCACGGCAAACCAGGACGGAGAUGAGAAGGAAUCGGUGAAUCUGUCUUUGAUUCUCAGAGAUUCGCGAGUUCCGACAAGAUAACAACAAACAGCUGGAAGAUAUUAAAGGAGAAAUAGUAAAAACUAAUUCGAGGAUAGAUGAAGCCGAAGCGAGGAUUGUUGGAAUUGAAGAGAAGCUACAAAACGCAGAGCAAGUGAUAGCAGAAAUGCUAAAACUACAAGACCAGCUCCAGUGGAAACUAAUAGAUCAAGAAGGCCACUCAAGAAGGGAAAAUGUGAGGAUCUACGGAGUUCCCGAAGGAAGUGAAGGUAAACCCGGAUUGAUGAUUUCCUUCGUGGAGAAGCUGCUUAGAGAGAACCGUGAUAUACCGGACGCAAAAGACCUACAGCUAGAAAGGGCUUACUGUGCGUUGGCACCACAGCCUCCGGCAGGCGCCCAGCCCAGAUCGAUUCUGGUCAGAUUUCUCAGUUACAGAAUGAAGGAAGAGGUGCUUAAAUGGGCAUGGCAAAAGAAAGGUUUCAUGUGGAGCAACUGUAAAAUCAGUUUAGACCACGAUUACGCACCGGGGAUCCUUGCCAGACGGAAGGAAUAUGCGGAAACACGAAGGGUCCUGAAGGAAAACAACAUCAGAUUCCUGACCCUGUAUCCAGCUCGGCUGAGAGUCUUUUACGACGAAGGGACAAAAACUCACGCUACGGUGGAGGAGGCAACGUUGGACCUGGCGGACUGGGGACGACCUAUUAAAGUUAUCACCCAACCGGAGUCGCUACUGGAGAGGAUUCGGCAGAAGUCAUAGCAGCCAGUGCGGCGAGGACGCUCCACACGACCCAGAAUGUCAAACUACAAGGAAAAACUGCAAAUAUUCAGACGAGAAUGUACAGAGAAUACAGAUUAAUUAAGAGAAAUGACUGAAAAGAGUAAAUUGGACUUAAAAGGUAAAAUGAAAGCUGGUAACUGAAAAUAAACUAGACAGAAUAACUUGAAUGAUAGCAAUAUGGUUGAGACAUAAAUAGGAGAAAAUUCUCUAUGAUUAUUCAACCUGCUGAGGGCCCUCUAACACAGGGUGAAGAUAGAGGUUAUCCCUCUGAACUGAGGCGGGUCAGUGCUCAGGCCUCACUGUGGGAAGUCGGGAAAAAUUUUCAAAUGUUAUACGUUCGAAAAUGUCUAGGGUGUGGUUAUAUGUUUUGGUUUACUGUUGAGAAGGGAUUGCUUACUGUUUGGUUAGAAAAGGAGAGUUUUUUUUCUACUAGAGAAAAAUGCAAAUUGAAUUGGUAAAAAUAAUUUCCUAUAAUGUUAAUGGGGUUUUGAAUCCAAUUAAAAGAAAUAAGAUUAUGUCUAAACUGAAAAAAGAGAGGGCACAAAUAGCUUUCCUCCAGAAAACACAUAUGAGCCAAUCCAAACAUGGAAAAUUAAAAAGAAUGGGCUUUAAGCAUGCAUUUUAUUCAUCAUAUUGAGCCACAAAAGAGGGGUAGCUACUUUAAUAUCAAGCACUCUUAAUUAUGAACAUAUUUCAGAGACUAAAGACAAAGAUGGACAAUUUGUAAAAAUUACAGGAAGAAUAGAAGGUACAGAAAUAACAUUGUUGAAGUUUAUGCUCCACCAGGUUGUGAAUGGUCAUUUUAUAGACACAUUUUUGACCUAAUGGUCAGUUCUCAAGGGGUAGUAAUCUGUGGAGGGGAUUUUAAUAUUAGGUUAAAUCCUGCGUUAGAUUCUUCAAGAAUAGUUACUCAGAAUAAACCUCUGACUCGGAAAAUGAAUUUAUUGAUGGAGGAGUUGGGAAUUAUAGAUGUGUGGAGGGAAUUACACCCCACUAGUAAAGAUUAUACACAUUACUCUUUCCCUCAUUCAGCCUAGACUAUUUCCUUAUCUUUAAUAUAGGUAGACUCAGGAUAAAAAAAACUGUAAUAUUGCAACAAUUGAUCUGUCGGAUCAUAGCCCAGUCUCUAUGUCUCUAAUCCUGGAAAGGAAAAUGAGGAAAACACUAUGGAGGUUAAAUUCACAUAUACUCAAUAACCUGAAAGUAAUGGAGAGAUUAAGGAGAGAAAUCAAAGAAUACCUAGACCUUAAUGACACGGGAGAAACAUCACCAGUGAUCUUAUGGGAUACAUUGAAAGCUGUACUGAGAGGAAAAAUUAUUUCCAUCACCACUCACAUGAAAAAAAUCAAUGCACAAAAAUUAGCAGACCUUCAAGGAAAAUUAAAACAAGUUGUAGAUAGCAACAAAAGUAAUUCUAAUUUAAAACAGGAAAUUAGGAAAUUGCAAAGUGAAAUUGAUGAUAUUUAUACAUUGGAAACUCAAAAGAAAUUUUCUUUACCUGAGACAAAAGAAUUAUGAAGUAGGAGGUAAAUCAGCUAGAUUAUUAGCAUAUAAAUUACGAAAACAACAAGCAGACAAUACAAUUCAUAAAAUAAAGAAUCCAAAGACAAAGCUUGUGGAGAGUACAAUAGGGAAAAUUCAAGAGAGUUUUGAAACAUAUUAUCGAGAGCUGUACUCCCAACCCCGGGCCUCCAAUGAGCCCUAUAUAGACACUUUAUUGAAUUCUUUAGGUUUACCUAAACUCACAGAAUUACAAAAUGAAUGCCUAUUAGAACCAGUAACUGCCAAAGAACUGAAUGAGGCCAUCUCGAGAUUAAAGGCUGGAAAGUCUCCGGGUUCUGAUGGGUUUACCUCAGAGUGGUACAAAUCGCUGAAGUCACAGUUAGCCCCAUUACUACUUAACACCUUUAAUUGGAUCUUGCAGAGAGGAGAAACUCCACCUUCCUGGAGAGAAGCGAUUAUUUCAGUUAUUCCUAAAGAGGGUAAAGAUAAACUAGAAUGUGGCAAUUAUCAGCCAAUUAGUGUUCUUAAUUUAGAUUACAAACUAUUUACAUCUCUAUUAGCACGCAGAUUGGAAAAGCUUUUACCUGGCCUAAUCCAUUUAGACCAGACUGGAUUUAUUCAACAAAGACAAACACAGGACAACGAGAACUCUGCACAUAUUAGAACAGGUUAAUAAGAACGAGACAGAGACAAUGGUAGUAGGAUUAGACGCUGAGAAAGCUUUUGAUUCAGUUAGUUGGGUAUUCCUAUACAGAAUGUUAGGAAGAUUUGGCUUUCAAGAAAAGUUUAUUAAAGUAAUUCAGACUCUAUAUGACAGCCCUACAGCUCGAAUUAAGGUAAAUGGGGACCUCUGACUCCUUUACUUUAGAGAGAGGCACUAGACAGGGAUGCCCAAUUUCUCCUCUCCUUUUUGCGCUAUAUAUUGAACCGCUUGCCCAACUAAUAAGACAGAGCAAAAUCAUAAAAGGUAUCAAGGUGGCAGGGAUCGAACAGAAAGUGGCGUUAUUCGCAGAUGAUGUUUUAGUCUAUCUGAGUGAACCAGAAAAAUCAUUUAUAGGAUUGUUUACACUGUUGGAUGACUUUGGGAAAAUAUCAGGUUAUAAAUGUAAAGAAAACACAGGUUAUGUCCCUAAAUUAUACACCAUCCAAAAAACUGCAGGAUACAUAUGAUCUUAAGUGGGAAGCUAAAUCAUUAAAAUAUUUAGGAAUAACCCUGCCGAAGGAUCUUUCAACACUGUCACAGGUAAAUUAUGGGCCAUUAAUCUCAGAGAUAAAAGCAGAUAUGCAUAGAUGGAAUCUUAUCCCCUUUUUAAGUUUAAAUUCAAGGAUAAAUACUAUAAAAAUGAAUAUUCUCCCUCGGUUACUGUAUUUUUUCCAGACUCUACCUGUGGAGAUGGAUGAUAAUCAAUUCAGUGAAUGGGACAAAUGGAUUUCCUGCUUUAUCUGGCAAGGAAAGAAACCUAGAAUUCGAUAUAACACCUUACAGUUAGGGAAGGAAGGAGGAGGUAUGGUUCUUCCUUGCUUGAGAAAUUAUUUUUAUGCUUCACAGAUAACCCCUCUGUUAUAUUGGUGUAAUAGGGAAUAUAAGGCUAGAUGGAAGGAAAUUGAAUUUGGAUUGGUUGACAGUUUUCCUCUACAGGCCUCAAUAGCUGACAAAGGAUUGAUGGCCCAAUUGGAAAAGUUUAAAAACAGUUGGAUAAAUCUUACAUUAAAAGUGUGGCAGAAGGUGGUUAAUUCAUGUGGAAUCAAUAACAUGUUAAAACUUUUCAGAUGGUGUGCAUAUGAUACCGAAUUCCUUCCCAACAGAGGAGAUAAAAGAUUUGAACUAUGGAUAAAGAAAGGUCUUACAACCUACCUCUCAUUUAUACAUAAAAGAGUAUUAUUCCUGCAGGACAAACAUGGCCUAGAACACGAUGCCUUUUUUAGGUACCUUCAAGUACGACACUAUGUUAACCAGAGUUGUAGAUAUACAGACCUAUCAACAGUAGAUUUAGAAUUUUUCAAGAUUCUGAAUUCGGCUUGCAGUUCAAUACCUAGUAAAUCAGUUUCUCGAUUAUAAUAAUGCACUUUCCCAUGCUAAAAAUGUAAACACAUUGUAUAUUAAAGAGAAGUGGGAGAAAGAAGCGGGAUUGGUACUUUCAGAGGAGGCUUGGGGGAAAAUAUGCAGCUUUCAGUGGUCUUUGACUAAUUCUUUGAUUUGGAGAGAACAUUGUUGGAAAAAUAUUAUAAGAUACUUCAAGACCCCAUAUCAGGAAAAAUAUAAAGACCAAGAAGGCAAAUCAUUUCCAUAUUUUCUGGGAUUGCCCUAAAUUAAGUUUAUAUUGGAAAGGUAUUCAUAGAACAUUAGUUAAGGUACUUAAGACCCAGAUACCUCUGAACUUUGAGACGCUCUAUUUGGGGCAUGUAUUGUUUUUUGAACAGAAGGUAGAUAAAAGUUGCUGCAGGCCCUUUUAGCGGCAAGUAAGAAAUCAAUCACUAGAAAGUGGCUAAAUCCAAUAUCACCUACACUAGAAGAUUGGCACGAAAUUGUCUUGGAAAUAUUUAAAAUGGAAAAGAUGACUUACUCCCUGAGAAUUCAAAAAGAAAAAUUUUAUCAAAUCUGGAAUAAAUGGAUUGAAUAUAUAACCCCAAAGCGAGCAGACUUUAGAUGACUCUCCUAAUGAUUUAUACUGCUCUUCUCAUCAACACAGUAAUAUUGCUAACGUAAGCACCCCUGGUCUAAAUGUUUACUAUUUUUGUUUUUUUUUGGAAAAUAGAGAAUUAACACAAGUAAAGGAAAAGAUUUGGGAAAGGGAUUAAAAAAUGAUGAAACAUAGGGAUUGGAUAAUUAUGUUUGGGGGCAGGAGCAAGCAUGAACAAGUUAGGAUAUAAACACCUAUAAUGGUUGUUACAUAGGCUUACAUACAACAUUUUGGUCCAGUAGAAAUGGUCCAGAAGAGAUAUAUGGAAAUUAUUAUUAAUCCACUAUUAAUACUAUUUUUCUUAACAACUAAUAUCAUUACUUAGCCUAAUAGAUUAGAAUUUCAACUGUACCUAGUUACCUAAGUGUCUAAUUUCUUUUUGUAUCAUAAUGUGUACUUAGGAAUGUAUAAAUAAUUAUAGUUUUAUACAUAUAAAAAAGGAAAAGGUUUUCCAUGUGAAAAAAGUA